CUGACAGACAGGUAACCAGUGUAAAGACCUCAGAACUGGACUGAUGUGGUCUACUUUCUUGGUCCUUGUGAGAACCCGAGCAGCAGAGUUCUGAAUAAGCUGCAGUUUCCUGACGGAUUUAUCUGUUACAGAAGUCAACUAAAGAUUUUUUUAGGCUGUGUGUGUGUAACCAAACACAAUAGCUUGGCCUCAGAUGUGUGCAUGAGUCCCAGCAGUCUGUCCUGUUCUGCACGAGCAGCUGUACGGGGUCAAACCAGGAUCAGCGUAAGUGAACGAAAAAACACAUUGAAAACUUGAAAAAUAGACAUUGUAACUGGAAAAAGAAAAUUGACAAUGUGAAAGUCAUUGUAAAUUUGAAAAGUGUUUUUUAAAAAAAAAAAAAAAA